rnacentral:rRNA from 1 species
CUCUGAUGGAUCUCGCCGGACCCGACUGCUAUCGGAUUGAGAUUUAGCCAUGCGAGUCGAACGUUCCCCUGUUGCGGGAAGCGUGACUUACGGCUCAGUUACAUGUAGUCAGCCUCACUUGGAGGCAGGGACCACCCCCAGAAGCUGAGAUUAAUCUCGGAUAGGUCAUGUCAUCCGGAGGGAGAGCUGGCUUUAAGGAGUGCGCGGGCUUCCUCCGCGAUUUCGCUCCAGGAUGGGACUGCGUCCGAUCAGGCUGUUGGCGAGGUAAUGGCCCACCAAACCUGUAACCGGUACGGGCUUUGAGAGAGGUGGCCCGGAGAUGGACACUGAGAGAAGGGUCCAGGUCCUACGGGGCGCAGCAGGCGCGAAACCUUUGCAAUGCGCGAAAGCGUGACGAGGUUAAUCCGAGUGACUUCCGCUGAGGGAGUCUUUUGUCAGCUGUAAAUAGGCAGCCGAAUAAGGGGAGGGCAAGUCUGGUGUCAGCCGCCGCGGUAAUACCAGCUCCUCGAGUGGUCGGGGCGAUUAUUGGGCCUAAAGCAUCCGUAGCCGGUUCCGUAGGUCCUCUGUUAAAUCCAACCGCUCAACGGUUGACCUGCAGAGGAUACCGCGGGACUAGGAGGCGGGAGAGGCAGACGGUACUCCGCGUGUAGGGGUAAAAUCCUGUGAUCCGCGGAAGACCCCCAGUGGCGAAGGCGGUCCGCCAGAACGCGCUCGACGGUGAGGGAUGAAAGCUGGGGGAGCGAACCGGAUUAGAUACCCGGGUAGUCCCAGCCGUAAACGAUGCUAGCUAGAUGAUUCAUUGGCAAGUCGCGAAUGCAGUGUCGCAGGGAAGCCGUUAAGCUAGCCGCCUGGGGAGUACGGUCGCAAGACUGAAACUUAAAGGAAUUGGCGGGGGAGCA